rnacentral:antisense_RNA from 1 species
CUUGAUCGAGCCCAGCCACAGCGGUUCGGUGCGGUCCUGGCCGUAAGUGGCCAGCAAGGCUUGCGCCUC